CAGAAAUCGUGACGUCAUUUUUCAGAGCGUUUUCUCCGUAAUGAGCGUCAGUAGCAACAAGCGAAGAUCGGGAAUUAUGCCUAUCAGAGAUAAAUUUUCCAUCCAGAGAGGAAGUUCUAAAAUUAUGUAUGAAGAGAGAGGGGAAGACGAAAAUAGUAAGUUGUCCAAUGCGGUGGGGAAAACACGCGAGGUUAGCUUAAGGCGUGUACUUUCUGUUGUUUGAGGGGAACUUUGAAUUCAUGGUACAGUAAAACAAAAACCCAGAAAAGUAGAAAUUUUAUAGUGCAUGUAUUUUGAUAGGAUACAAAAUAUAGAUAUACAUGUACAAGUAUUUUCAAAGAAAUUGAUUUUUCAGAGUACUUAAACGAUGGUGAACUCUUGACAAUACAAGGUGUGGUGAUGUGGUGUUUCGGGGACCUUUCCUACAAAGAAUCGAUUUUUAACAAACUGACAUUAAUGUGGAAAAGGGAAACAAUAAACAAGAUAAAUAAGGUUAAAAUC